rnacentral:rRNA from 1 species
GUGGGGAAUCUUGCGCAAUGGGCGAAAGCCUGACGCAGCCAUGCCGCGUGAAUGAUGAAGGUCUUAGGAUUGUAAAAUUCUUUCACCGGGGACGAUAAUGACGGUACCCGGAGAAGAAGCUCCGGCUAACUUCGUGCCAGCAGCCGCGGUAAUACGAAGGGGGCUAGCGUUGCUCGGAAUUACUGGGCGUAAAGGGCGCGUAGGCGGACAGCUUAGUCAGAGGUGAAAGCCCAGGGCUCAACCUUGGAAUUGCCUUUGAUACUGGCUGUCUUGAGUUUGGGAGAGGUGAGUGGAACUCCGAGUGUAGAGGUGAAAUUCGUAGAUAUUCGGAAGAACACCAGUGGCGAAGGCGACUCACUGGCCCAAUACUGACGCUGAGGCGCGAAAGCAUGGGGAGCAAACAGGAUUAGAUACCCGAGUAGUCC